UGCCGGAAGAGAAGGCGGGAGCCUAGACUGUCAGCUCCGAAGCGUACACAGCCGCCGCGUUUGUGCGCCGUGAUGCGCAGGGCGCCCAGCAGCCGGCGACCUCCUUGGCCUUGGCUUCCCCGGCUGUACCCCACAAGGCCGAAGUUCCGUGUGCGGCAAUAGAAGUCGGGAGGCGGGAGCAAACCCCUCAAUGGCACAACAGCGACAGUCCGGAGGCAGAGGGUAGCUGCUAAGUGCUGAUCAGCCCCUUCCCCGGCCCCCUCGCCAGAAGUUUGCCCGCUCUGCACCUUCAAACCCUUGGAGCUGUUGCCGCCAACUCCGUGGGGCCGUCCACUGUCGGACCUGGUGCACGAGAGCCGGGGCUGUCCCAUGGGAGUGGCUACUGGACUGUACGAGGCGGAGGAGGCAGAGCGGCAUGCCAAGCUGCAGCAAAGCGGAACGAGCACGAGAGGAUCAUUUAGGAGGAGAAGCAGCGCCUCUUCAUGCCCCUGGGUUUUGGGCCGUUGUGGCCUCCGGACCUCGGCCUACAGUGCGAGCAGCAGCAGCAGCUGCAGCAGCACUAGCCUCCCAGCCUAGCCUGCACUGUGUGGCCUGCAAAGCCUUCUCCACCCCCUCCCCAGCUCGUGGACAGGUAGGAAGAGCCACUCCCAGUACUCGCUAUCCCACCUGCAUGAGGGCGCCCUCAGCUCAGAGUCCCGCGCCUCUUGUCCUACAGUGGAGAGAGUCAGCGGGAGCUGAGCUGGCCACAGGGGCCCUGGUCUGAGAUAGCUGCCUUGCCGAUUUAGCAUCCUCUGCCUCCAACCUUCUAGGCUACCUGUCUGCCCUGGCCCGGGUUCCACUCAACAGCUACAGCUUGUCUUGGGUGACCAAAAAGGGACCUCCCACUGCCUUUAGUGCAGCCCUGAUCUUUGUCUCUUUGGCUGCGGGGCUCUCCUGGACUCCUUGGCUCUGUGACUAGCAGCUGCCCAGAAAUUUUCCUGGAGGGUCGAGACUGUAGGGUCCAGGUGAAGGUGCCUGCAGCAGACAGACAUGAGGCAUAUCUGGGUGAAGAUGACUUUGCAAUCAAGACUUUCCCGGUGCUGGGUGAUUGAGGAAGUGUUCUCUAGUCAACCAGAUUCAGGGGACACUCCUCUAAUGGAAACUGAACUGGAAAUGUUCUUGGAUGGGAGCAGUUUUAUGGACAAUGGACAUUGAUGUUCAGGAUAUGCCAUAGUAACCCUGACAGUGGUGCUAGAAGCCAAACCCCUGCCACCAGGUACAUCAGCCCAGAAAGCUGAACAUUGCCCUGACCUGAGCCUUGAUCAUUGGACAAGAUACAGUCUUACAUCCUUAUGAGCCAGGAGACCAAGUGUUAUUGAAAACAUGGAAUCAUAAACACCUUGAGGAUCAACUUACCCCCAAGUGGGUUGGACAUUACAUUGUGUUUAUAAUCCCUCACUCUUCUCUCAAACUGCAGGGUAUUAAGCCAUGGAUUCACCAUUUGCAAGUUAAGCCAGCUCCAGAGGAGAAAGAAGUAGAAGAAAACACCACCUUCUCAUGUACCCCUAAUGCUGAUUUAAAAUUACCCUUCCAUAAAUUGCCUAAAACAGUA